rnacentral:rRNA from 1 species
CACAUUGCCAUUACUAACAUCUAUGCUCCCCCCUCGCGCUCUCUCAAGUUAGCGUUCUUAGACGAACUCGCCUCAAUCGCACAACCAGAUGACACCCCAUGGCUCAUCGCCGGUGACUUCAACCUUAUCCGUUUCCCCUCUGAAAAAAAUAACACCGCCUUCCGCCCCGCCGAAGCCAACGCGUUCAACCAAACCUUAGAUAACCUAGAACUUAUCGAAUUGCCUUUACUGGACCGCAGGUUCACUUGGUCCAAUAACCGUGCCUCCCCCACCCUAGAAUGGCUAGAUCGCGUCUUUUUAACCUUGCAUGGGCAGAUGCUUUCCCUAACACUUCCCUUUCCUCUCGAUCCCGCUUUACGUCGCGAUCACGUUCCACUCCUCAUCCACGUCACCACCGCCAUCCCUCGAUCCAGCUUUUUCAAAUUCGAAGCGGCCUGGGCCAACUCCCGGCCCUGCAAGGACAUUGUUGCUCAAAUUUGGGCUGCACAGCCCUCAUCGCCAACCAAUGCUACUACCUUCCUCGUCUCCACGCUAAAAAAUCUCAUGCCCGUCUUAAGACUUGGGCACGUUCUCGUAUCCCCACCCACCUUCGCGAGGCUCGCUGCCAAUCUGCAAUCACAGCCCUAG